rnacentral:rRNA from 1 species
GACGAACGCUGGCGGCGUGCUUAACACAUGCAAGUCGAACGGAAAGGCCCUGCUUUUGUGGGGUGCUCGAGUGGCGAACGGGUGAGUAACACGUGAGUAACCUGCCCUUGACUUUGGGAUAACUUCAGGAAACUGGGGCUAAUACCGGAUAGGAUCUCCUGCUGCAUGGUGGGGGUUGGAAAGUUUCGGCGGUUGGGGAUGGACUCGCGGCUUAUCAGCUUGUUGGUGGGGUAGUGGCUUACCAAGGCUUUGACGGGUAGCCGGCCUGAGAGGGUGACCGGCCACAUUGGGACUGAGAUACGGCCCAGACUCCUACGGGAGGCAGCAGUGGGGAAUAUUGCACAAUGGGCGGAAGCCUGAUGCAGCAACGCCGCGUGCGGGAUGACGGCCUUCGGGUUGUAAACCGCUUUCGCCUGUGACGAAGCGCGAGUGACGGUAACGGGUAAAGAAGCACCGGCUAACUACGUG